rnacentral:rRNA from 1 species
CACGUAGGGGGCGAGCGUUGUCCGGAUUUAUUGGGCGUAAAGAGCUCGUAGGCGGUUUCGUAAGUCGGAUGUGAAAACUCCAGGCUCAACUUGGAGACGCCAUUCGAUACUGCGAUGACUUGAGUCCGGUAGGGGAGUGUGGAAUUCCUGGUGUAGCGGUGAAAUGCGCAGAUAUCGGGAGGAACACCGGUGGCGAAGGCGGCGACCUGGGUAGAUACUGACGCUGAGGUGCGAAAGCGUGGGGAGCAAACAGG